UAUCUCUCCUAUAUCAAUCUUUUUUGGUUGAUCAAUAGGGACUUGGGGUCUUCUCGUCGGAACUUUCAUUUCGAAUGUCUCGGUGAACCCUUUAAAUGUAGCAAGCUCCCAUCUUUCAUCGGAAAUACGCAAACUUGGGGAUGGCGUCGUAGCAAUCACUCUUAUCAGCAUUGUCGAAGCGCCUAUAUCAUACCUCUAAUCUGCGGUGCUAAUCCUUUAUCAAUGGGCGAAGCUUGACGACUGGCAAAGUGCCAUGCUCCCUUAUUUGGAGUACACCGAACAA
rnacentral:misc_RNA from 1 species